CGGACGGGUGAGUAACGCGUGGGGAACCUGCCCUGUACAGGGGGAUAACACUUAGAAAUAGGUGCUAAUACCGCAUAAGCGCACAGUAUCGCAUGGAUACAGUGUGAAAAACUCCGGUGGUACCAGGAUGGACCCGCGUCUGAUUAGCUGGUUGGCGGGGUAACGGCCCACCAAGGCGACGAUCAGUAGCCGGCCUGAGAGGGUGAACGGCCACAUUGGGACUGAGACACGGCCCAAACUCCUACGGAAGGCAGCAG
rnacentral:rRNA from 1 species